GGCGGACGGGUGAGUAACGCGUGGGUAACCUGCCUCACACACGGGGGAUAACAGUUGGAACAGCUGCUAAAACGCAUAAGCAUACAUUGCCGCAUGGCAGAGUGUGAAAAUAUUUAUAGGUGUGAGAUGGGCCCGCGUCUGAUUAGCUAGUUGGUACGGGUAAUGGCCUACCAAGGCGACGAUCAGUAGCCGGCUUGAGAGAGUGACCGGCCACAUUGGGACUGAGACACGGCCCAAACUCCUACGGGAGGCAGCAGUGGGGAAUAUUGCACAAUGGGGGAAACCCUGAUGCCAGCGACGCCGCGUGAGUGAAGAAGUAUUUCGGUAUGUAAAGCUCUAUCAGCAGGGAAGAAAAUGACGGUACCUGACUAAGAAGCCCCGGCUAACUACGUGCCAGCCGCCGC
rnacentral:rRNA from 1 species